AUCCAUUAAUUAAUUGAUCUGUAAAACCCCAACACUCCCUCCACUCUUCUUUCUGGCAUGUGCGUGUCCUCUCCGGCCAUCCCCGCCGCCGCCUUUGCUCGCGUGAACUCCUCCUGCCGCCGUUGUUGCCGCUCCUCGCCUGAGGUCGUUCCAACGUCACUACCGCCGCCACUCGCCUGAGGAAAUUUCUUUCAAUUUGAUCAUUACAGAUUACAGCAUGCCGAGAAUGAUAGGUUAUGAUCUUCUUAAAAAGAUAAAGGGUUUCAAUGUUUGAAGGAGAAAUGCUUUUGGAAAUCAAGAAGUCAUUUCGGGAUGUGGACAACAUACUGUAUGACUGGACGGAUUCUCCAUCUUCGGACUACUGUGUAUGGAGGGGAGUAACAUGUGAUAAUGUCACCUUCAGUGCCAUUGCCCUUAAUCUUUCGGGUUUGAAUCUCGAUGGGGAAAUCUCCCCUGCCAUUGGAGAUCUCAAAAGCCUACUCACUCUUGAUUUGAGGGGAAACCGUUUCUCUGGACAGAUCCCAGAUGAGAUUGGUGACUGUUCUUCUUUGAAAAGCCUAUUCCUAACCUGAAAAUUUUACUUGGCCUCAAAUAAAUUAAACGGGGAGAUACCAAGGCUUACAUACUGGAACGAAGUUUUGCAGAUUCUUUAGGCGAGCAGAUCAGGCUUGCAGGUAGAGAAGUUCUUGCGCUGCCCUUUUUGGAAGGGUGAGUGUGUCUUGGCUGUUGGUUGUUUGGGAUAGAUUCCAGGGUUUUUGAUUGAUGUCACUGGGUAUUUUGUGAUGUAUAUUUUAGGAUUCUGUAAAUUUCUGGUAUUGUAAAUAUAGUAUACAGUUUUAUGUUUACUGUUGCUUAGGAAUGUAUUAUGUACAAAGUUUCCUCAGUGUUCUUUUGGGCCUGAGAUGUGUUCAACAGAUAAUACGGGGAGAUUUGCUAUAUA